rnacentral:rRNA from 1 species
ACUGCUCAGUAACACGUGGAUAACCUGCCCUUGGGACCGGCAUAACCCCGGGAAACUGGGGAUAAUUCCGGAUAACGCAUAUUUGCUGGAAUGCUUUAUGCGUCAAAAGGAUUCGUCUGCCCAAGGAUGGGUCUGCGGCCUAUCAGGUAGUAGUGGGUGUAAUGUACCUACUAGCCAGCGACGGGUACGGGUUGUGAGAGCAAGAGCCCGGAGAUGGAUUCUGAGACAUGAAUCCAGGCCCUACGGGGCGCAGCAGGCGCGAAAACUUUACAAUGCGGGAAACCGUGAUAAGGGGACACCGAGUGCCAGCAUCAUAUGCUGGCUGUCCGGAUGUGUAAAAUACAUCCGUUAGCAAGGGCCGGGCAAGACCGGUGCCAGCCGCCGCGGUAACACCGGCGGCCCGAGUGGUGAUCGUGAUUAUUGGGUCUAAAGGGUCCGUAGCCGGUUUGGUCAGUCCUCCGGGAAAUCUGAUAGCUCAACUAUUAGGCUUUCGGGGGAUACUGCCAGACUUGGAACCGGGAGAGGUAAGAGGUACUACAGGGGUAGGAGUGAAAUCUUGUAAUCCCUGUGGGACCACCUGUGGCGAAGGCGUCUUACCAGAACGGGUUCGACGGUGAGGGACGAAAGCUGGGGGCACGGACCGGAUUAGAUACCCGGGUAGUCCCAGCCGUAAACGAUGCUCGCUAGGUGUCAGGCAUGGCGCGACCGUGUCUGGUGCCGCAGGGAAGCCGUGAAGCGAGCCACCUGGGAAGUACGGCCGCAAGGCUGAAACUUAAAGGAAUUGGCGGGGGAG